CUUGCAAGGGCGAACAGAGCUUUAAGAAUGGAGCUUCUGCUACCCUCACUUCUCCCAAACUCCGGGAUGAAGACAAAAAAAUUCUAGUUUCAGAUAUGUUAUCAAGUUUUGCUUCUCCGAGAGAAAGAUCACAAGUCGGGACAGAGGCAGGCAGAGAGAGAGGGGGAAGCAGGCUCCCCGCUGAGCAAAGAGCCCGAUGUGGGGCUCGAUCCCAGGACCCUGAGACUAUGACCCGAGCCGAAGGCAGAAGCCCAACCCACUGAGCCACCCAAUGCCCCCACAUUGUGCUUUUAAGAAAUGUUUUAAACAGGGUUCCGCAAUCUACGUGGAAUGGGACAUUUUCAGAGGACAAAUCUUGGUGUGGACAUGAGAGCUUACACUAAGCUUCGAAUGGAUAGGAGGCAAAAGGGAUUGUAGGCCCAACCAGAAGCAAGCCGGCUGAAUUUUACCUGCUGUGGAUGAACUAAGGAUGACAACAAUGAGGCAUGGGUUCUUCAGCUGGAAGUGACCUGAGAUGUGACCAGAUUUCUGGAGCGGGAGCCACGAAUUCUUCCUCAACACACACACUUCUCCCUUUGCAACUUUGACCUCGGGGGGAACCCAUUGGUCAAUACAACGGGGAAAGACAUGACAAACGUCUCAUUCUUAAACUAUUUUCGUAACA